rnacentral:rRNA from 1 species
UACGUAGGGGGCAAGCGUUGUCCGGAUUUAUUGGGCGUAAAGAGCGUGUAGGCGGCUAGGUAGGUCCGUUGUGAAAACUCGAGGCUCAACCUCGAGACGCCGGUGGAAACCAUCUAGCUAGAGUCCGGAAGAGGAGAGUGGAAUUCCUGGUGUAGCGGUGAAAUGACGCAGAUAUCAGGAGGAACACCGGUGGCGAAGGCGGGUCUCUGGGCCGUAACUGACGCUGAGGAGCGAAAGCAUGGGGAGCGAACAGG